UACGUAGGGUCCAAGCGUUGUUCGGAUUUACUGGGCGUAAAGGGCGCGUAGGCGGCUUAACAAGUCACUUGUGAAAUCUCCGGGCUUAACUCAGAACGGCCAAGUGAAACUGUCAAGCUAGAGUGCAGAAGGGGCAAUCGGAAUUCUUGGUGUAGCGGUGAAAUGCGUAGAUAUCAAGAGGAACACCUGAGGUGAAGACGGGUUGCUGGGCUGACACUGACGCUGAGGCGCGAAAGCCAGGGGAGCAAACGGG
rnacentral:rRNA from 1 species